GACGAACGCUGGCGGCGUGCCUAAUACAUGCAAGUCGAACGCAGUGGGGACGGGUGAGUAACACGUGGGUAACCUCCCAUCAGAGGGGAUAACACUUGGAAACAGGUGCUAAACCGAUACGGAUGGAGGGACCGGCGGUGCAUUAGCUAGUUGGUGGGGUAACGGCUCACCAAGGCCACGAUGCAUAGCUGACCUGAGUGGGUGAUCGGCCCCACGGGGCCUGAGCCACGGCCCAUACGCCUACGCGAGGAAGCAGUAGGGAAUCUUCGGCAAUGGACGAAAGCCUGAUCCAGCCAUGCCGCGUGUGUGAAGAAGGUCUUCGGAUUGUAAAGCACUUUAAGUUGGGAGGCGUUACCAACAGAAUAAGCACCGGCUAACUUCGUGCCAGCAGCCGCGGUAAUAC
rnacentral:rRNA from 1 species